UGGCAGCGUAGAAAGACUCCCUGUCAGU
rnacentral:piRNA from 1 species